CAUGCAGUCGAACGGUAGCACAGAGAGCUUGCUCUUGGGUGACGAGUGGCGGACGGCCGAUUAUUGUCUGGGAAACUGCCCGAUGGAGGGGGAUAACUACUGCAUACGGUAGCUAAUACCGCAUAACGUCGCAAGACCAAAGUGGGGGACCUUCGGGCCUCACACCAUCGGAUGUGCCCAGAUGGGAUUAGACCUAGUUGGUGAGGUAAUGGCUCACCUAGGCGACGAUCCCUAGCUGGUCUGAGAGGAUGACCAGCCACACUGGAACUGAGACACGGUCCAGACUCCUACGGGAGGCAGCAGUGGGGAAUAUUGCACAAUGGGCGCAAGCCUGAUGCAGCCAUGCCGCGUGUAUGAAGAGGGCCUUCGGGUUGUAAAGUACUUUCAGCGAGGAGGAAGGCAUUAAGGUUAAUAACCUUAGUGAUUGACGUUACUCGCAGAAGAAGCACCGGCUAACUCCGUGCCAGCAGCCGCGGUAAUACGGAGGGUGCAAGCGUUAAUCGGAAUUACUGGGCGUAAAGCGCACGCAAGCGGUCUGUCAAGUCGGAUGUGAAAUCCCCGGGCUUCAACUGGGAACUGCAUUCGAAACUGGCAAGCUUGAGUCCUGGAGAGGGGGGUAGAUUUCCGGGGUAGCGGUGGAAUGCGUAGAGAUCUAAAGGACCAAUACGGGUGGCAAAGGCGCCCCCUGGACAAAAACUGACGCUCAGGUGCAAAAGCUGGGGGAGCAAAAGGAAUAAGAAACCCUGGUAGUCCCCGCCCUAAAACGAUGUCUUUUUUUAAGGGUUGUUCCCUUGAGGAAGGGGCUUUCGGAACUUAACCCGUUUAAAAAAAAC
rnacentral:rRNA from 1 species